ACGGCCAUAGAAGGUAUAAAGCACCGCAUCCCGUCUGAUCUGCGAAUUUAAGCUGCCUAUCGCUCGGUUAGUACCAAGGUGGGGGACCACUUGGGAAUCCCCGGGUGCUGUAGUUU
rnacentral:rRNA from 1 species